UGAGCUCAGUGACUGGGGCUAAGUCGUAACAAGGUAGCCGUAGGGGAACCUGCGGCUGGAUCACCUCCUAA
rnacentral:rRNA from 1 species